CGCCCUUAGAGUUUGAUCAUGGCUCAGAUUGAACGCUGGCGGCAGGCCUAACACAUGCAAGUCGAACGGUAAAGUAGCUUGCUACUUACGAGUGGCGGACGGGUGAGUAAUGUCUGGGGAUCUGCCUGAUGGAGGGGGAUAACUACUGGAAACGGUAGCUAAUACCGCAUAAUGUCGCAAGACCAAAGCGGUUCGUCGCACCAUCAGAUGAACCCAGAUGGGAUUAGCUAGUAGGUAGGGUAAUGGCUUACCUAGGCGACGAUCCCUAGCUGGUCUGAGAGGAUGACCAGCCACACUGGAACUGAGACACGGUCCAGACUCCUACGGGAGGCAGCAGUGGGGAAUAUUGCACAAUGGGCGCAAGCCUGAUGCAGCCAUGCCGCGUGUAUGAAGAAGGCCUUCGGGUUGUAAAGUACUUUCAGUCAGGAGGAAGGGUGUGAAUAAUUUCAUGCAUUGACGUUACUGACAGAAGAAGCACCGGCUAACUCCGUGCCAGCAGCCGCGGUAAUACGGAGGGUGCAAGCGUUAAUCGGAAUUACUGGGCGUAAAGCGCACGCAGCGGUUUGUUAAGUCAGAUGUGAAAUCCCCGGGCUCACCUGGGAACUGCAUUUGAAACUGGC
rnacentral:rRNA from 1 species